GCUGGGUAUGGUGGCGCAUACCUGUAAUCCCAGCAGCCCAGGAGGCUGAGGCAGGAGAUUCAUGAGUUCAAAGCCAGCCGAAGCAAAAAGUGAGGCACUAAACAACUCAGUGAGACCCUGUCUCUA
rnacentral:sRNA from 1 species